rnacentral:rRNA from 1 species
UACAGAGGCCUCAAGCGUUGUUCGGGUUCAUUGGGCGUAAAGGGUGCGUAGGCGGCGCGGUAAGUCGGGUGUGAAAUUUCGGAGCUUAACUCCGAAACUGCAUUCGAUACUGCCGUGCUUGAGGACUGGAGAGGAGACUGGAAUUUACGGUGUAGCAGUGAAAUGCGUAGAGAUCGUAAGGAAGACCAGUGGCGAAGGCGGGGCUCUGGACAGUUCCUGACGCUGAGGCACGAAGGCCAGGGGAGCAAACCGG